rnacentral:rRNA from 1 species
UUGAACGCUGGCGGCAUGCCUAACACAUGCAAGUCGAACGGCAGCGCGGGGGCAACCCUGGCGGCGAGUGGCGGACGGGUGAGGAAUGCAUCGGAAUCUGCCCUGUUGUGGGGGAUAACCAACCGAAAGGUUGGCUAAUACCGCAUGAGACGGCGACGUGAAAGCGGGGGAUCUUUGGACCUCGCGCGACAGGAUGAGCCGAUGCCGGAUUAGCUAGUUGGUGGGGUAAAGGCCCACCAAGGCGACGAUCCGUAGCUGGUCUGAGAGGAUGAUCAGCCACACUGGAACUGAGACACGGUCCAGACUCCUACGGGAGGCAGCAGUGGGGAAUAUUGGACAAUGGGCGCAAGCCUGAUCCAGCAAUGCCGCGUGUGUGAAGAAGGCCUUCGGGUUGUAAAGCACUUUUGUCCGGAACGAAAAGCGAUGGGUUAAUACCCUGUCGUGCUGACGGUACCGGAAGAAGAAGCACCGGCUAACUACGU